CAAUGAACGUGUCAGACGGUGGCGGGACAAACGGCAAGUGAAAUACAGUUUGCAUUUGAGCCCUUGUUUCGCCCACCUUGAGCGCCCGGUGUACGAGGGCGUAACGGGUCCCAGUACGCGUUCCUUAAAUGUAAACGCGUGCCCGCACCGUCGGUGAUCUCAUUGCGAGCACUGAGACGUCUCGUAUUUGUCCGUCGUUCCAGCCUAGUUUACUGAGCUAAGUUCUACAACACUUCUUAGGCCCUUGCAAAUAUUGAGACCGCCUAUUGUUCUGUACCAUGCAGCCAAAAUGUUGCACCCAUCAGUUAUUUCCUGUCGACAGAGAGAGCAAGAAUACGGUUACUCUCGCGAGACACUCAAUUUUAGCGGCUGCUGUUCGUUCCCUUUUGUCUGGGACAAAUUGCAGCAUAUAUGUUAAUUUCAAUCAUGUUUGAAGACACAAGACUAUGAAAAGCCAUGGUAACUGGCCGUUCCGAGAAAAUGAAAUUCUACUCCUUCUGAAUGAGUAUUUGCAAUAUUUCUGAAACUAAUAAAAACGUUUGGUGUCAUCCCUGUACCUUGCUUUUUCCUCUUGUAUGCUGGUGAGGGGAGUGCAUCGGACUUGUUGCUGUCGAUGUAUGCCAGCCACGACGAAAACACAGAAGAGCCUUCAUUGAAUGGGAUGUGCUACACUGAAGAAGGCAAUGGGGAUGAAGGCAGCACGACCAGGCCAAGUCAGCAAGUGUGGGAAGCUGACCCAUCACCGCUGGACACCACCCAAGGAGAGCAGGCCACUGAAGAGAGUGAAGUCGAUGAACAAGCACAAGGGCCCAUUUACACUUAGAAAAGACAGCGACGAGCACGCGCUCCUCAAACAGGAAUCAGAGGCCUGCAAGGUAUGGGGCUGGAGCUCCUGACAAGGCGAGAGGAGAAUGAUUUCAUCCUUCGCCGAAAGGAAAUAGAACUCCAGCACCGGAGGUUGGAGUAUGAUGAGAGGCGCCUGGCCUUGGAAGAAAAAAAGGUCUCUCUGUUUGAAGAGAGACUCGAAAAACUGAAAACCCAAUGUAAGAAAAAUAAUGAAUGUAUGCUUGAAAACAUAAAAAAUAUGCUCGAGCAGCGUGAAAA